CCUACGGGAGGCAGCAGUGGGGAAUAUUGCACAAUGGGGGAAACCCUGAUGCAGCGACGCCGCGUGAGUGAAGAAGUAUUUCGGUAUGUAAAGCUCUAUCAGCAGGAACGAGACAAGACGGUACCUGACUAAGAAGCCCCGGCUAAAUACGUGCCAGCAGCCGCGGUAAUACGUAUGGUGCAAGCGUUAUCCGGAUUUACUGGGUGUAAAGGGAGCGCAGGCGGCACGGCAAGCCUGAUGUGAAAGCCCGCGGCCCAACCGCGGGACUGCAUUGGGAACUAGCGGGCUGGAGUGCCGGAGAGGUAGGCGGAAUUCCUGGUGUAGCGGUGAAAUGCGUAGAUAUUAGGAGGAACACCAGUGGCGAAGGCGGCCUACUGGACGGUGACUGACGCUGAGGCUCGAAAGCGUGGGGAGCAAACAGGAUUAGAUACCCUGGUAGUC
rnacentral:rRNA from 1 species